AACGGUCGUGAGUUUUUGCAAUACCCCCCUCUCCUUUAGUCGUGCUUGCGAAAGACCUUCCGGGUUCAGGAAGCAAAAUGAGGCCACGUUGGGGGCAGGGAGCCCUACUUCAUGCGGAGCCUCUGGCGCGCCCCCGUCGGCCGCAGGCCCCCGCCCACCCGGACCCAUCCAGGCAGGGGGCGGGCCGGGGGGGGCCGGGGGCGCCAGCCUGGGGGUCUGGCCCCGGGGCCCAACUAGGCCUUCGCGGGAGCGCGCCCCGCCCGCCCGCCCGCGGAUUCGUCCGUUCGGCCCCGGCCGCCCCGCCCCCUGCGGAGGCCCGCGGAUUUGCCUGGUGAUCGGUGACGUAGUGCCCGUCUCGAGCUGCCAUUGGGCGGUGGCGUGCGGACUCGGCCAAUCGGGACGCGGAUCCGGGAGAAAUCUCGGAGCGGACCUCGGGGAGCCGGGAGGCAGAGCCGAGGGGACGCGACCCCAGCUGGCUGCCGCGGGGGAGCAGCGCCCCCGGCCGGGAGCUCGCGGCCCAGAGCGGGCAGUGCGGAGCAGCACCCACGGGUGGAGGGCGCCAUGGCCACAUCAGCCCCGCUGCGCAGCCUAGAGGAGGAGGUGACAUGCUCCAUCUGCCUGGAUUACCUGCGGGACCCAGUGACCAUCGACUGUGGCCACGUAUUCUGCCGUGGCUGCACCACAGAUGUCCGGCCCGUGUCGGGGGGCCGCCCCGUCUGCCCACUCUGCAAGAAGCCGUUCAAGAAGGAGAACAUCCGGCCAGUGUGGCAGCUGGCCAGCCUAGUGGAGAACAUUGAGCGCCUCAAGGUAGACAAGACCCGGCAACCAGGAGACGUGGCCCGAGAGCCACCGGACGCCAGGCUAUGCGAGCGCCACCACGAGAAGCUGCACUACUACUGCGAGGAUGAUGGGAAGCUCCUGUGCGUCAUGUGCCGGGAGUCUCGGGAGCACCGGCCCCACAUGGCCGUCCUCGUGGACAAGGCCGCCCAGCCCCACCGGAAGAAGCUCCAGGACCAGCGGCAGUACGUGGUGGCUGAGUUCGAGCAAGGCCACCAGUUCCUGCAGGAGCGGGAGCGGCAUCUGCUGGAGCAGCUGGCCAAGCUGGAACAGGAGCUCACAGAAGGGCGGGAAAAGUUCAAGAGCCGGGGCGUCGGGGAGCUGGCCCGGCUGGCGCUGGUCAUCUCUGAGCUGGAGGGCAAGGCACAGCAGCCAGCUGCAGAGCUCCUGCAGGACACCAGGGACUUCCUGAACAGGUAUCCUCGGAAGAAGUUCUGGAUUGGGAAACCCAUUGCUCGGGUGCUUAAAAAGAAGACCAGCGAGUUCUCUGAUAAGCUUCUGUCCCUGCAGCGAGGCCUAAGGGAGUUCCAAGGGAAGCUGCUGAGAGACUUGGAAUACAAGACGGUGAGUGUGACCCUGGACCCGCAGUCAGCCAGCGGGUAUCUGCAGCUGUCCGAGGACUGGAAGUGUGUGACCUACAGCAGCCUGUACCAGAGUGCCUAUCUGUACCCCCAGCAAUUUGACUGCGAGCCAGAUAUGCAGAACUUGUCAAUUAUUAGAAAUAAGAUGCGCGUUAUCAAUGUAAUGAGGACAGUUAAUCGACACUCGAAUCCUCAGAGACAAUAA
rnacentral:lncRNA from 12 species